CUCACCUCAUACACAGUGUGACAGGAGCAGAGUCAGACACAUCCAGCCCAGGAAUCACCCACCCACAUCAGCUCCUUCUCACACCCUGCAGGUAAUCAGAAGUGAGAAACAUCUAAAGGGAUAAGUCAUCACCAUCAUGACACCAAUCCCUUCUAUCCUCUGAUCCAACAACAAUCCCUAGUUGCCUAACAGACCGUGGGGUUGCAGGGCACAGCUUCAGGUGAUUUUGGGGACACACACAGGUAACUCUGUGGAUAGAAACAUCAGAAGGAAUUUGUCAUCUUCAUCUUGACACCGAUCCAUUCUAUCCUUUGUUCCAAAUACAAGACAUCCAGCAGCAACAACUUAUGUCACUCAUGUCAUUAAAAUGUUUAUGCAAAUUUA